GCGCCCGUAGCUCAGUUGGAUAGAGCGACAGCCUCCGGAGCUGUAGGCCAGGGGUUCGAAUCCUCUCGGGCGCACCA
rnacentral:tRNA from 1 species